rnacentral:rRNA from 1 species
AUUCCAGCUCCAAUAGCGUAUAUUUAAGUUGUUGCGGUUAAAAAGCUCGUAGUUGGAUUUCGGGCGUGGAGGUUCGGUCCGCCGUUUCGGUGUGCACUGUCUUUCUGCGUCUUUCUGUCGGGGACGCGCUUCUGGCCUUAAUUGGCUGGGACGUGGAUUCGACGAGGUUACUUUGAAAAAAUUAGAGUGUUCAAAGCAAGCUAAAGCUCUGAAUACAUUAGCAUGGAAUAACGCGAGAGGACUCGGUCCUUAUUUUGUUGGUCUUCAAGGAUGGAGUACUGAUUAAGAGGGACAGUUGGGGGCAUUCGUAUUUCAUUGCUAGAGGUGAAAUUCUUGGAUUUAUGAAAGACGAACUUCUGCGAAAGCAUUUGCCAAGGAUGUUUUCAUUA